CCCCCGGCACAGCUGCUGUCCUCAAAUGUAUCCACUGGGCGUACCCCAGGGACUUCUGACCCCUUGGACCUCUACCAAAAUGCAUGGUUAAGCAAAGAGUGGAUUCCCUCUCUCUUAAACUGUGCACUUUUUAUAUGAGUGCCAGGGCUCGGUUGCUUCUGGAAUUACAAGGAAAUGCAGGGACAAAUGGAGCAGAGACUGAAGGAAGGUCAUCCAGAGGCUGCCCUACUUGGGAAUCCAUCUCACCUGCAGAGAGACGUCAAACUUAGACACUACUGCUGAUUCCAAGAAACGCUUGUUGAGGAGAGCCUGGUAUAGCUGUUCCCUGAGAGGCUCUGCCUGUACCUGACCAAUACAGAUGCAGACGCUCACAGCCAACUAUCAAACUGAUAACCCAGCUGUGAGGCUGGAAUGGGAGGGCAGGGAGCACCCUCAUAGAGGCAAAGGGGGGAAGGGAUGGGUGGUUUGUGAAAUGAAACCAGGAAAUGUAAAUAAAUAAAAUAACAACAAAAG
rnacentral:lncRNA from 1 species